AGAUUGAACGCUGGCGGCAUGCCUUACACAUGCAAGUCGAACGGCAGCACGGGAGCAAUCCUGGUGGCGAGUGGCGAACGGGUGAGUAAUACAUCGGAACGUGCCCAGUUGUGGGGGAUAGCCCGGCGAAAGCCGGAUUAAUACCGCAUACGACCUACGGGUGAAAGCGGGGGCUCGCAAGACCUCGCGCUAUUGGAGCGGCCGAUGUCGGAUUAGCUUGUUGGUGGGGUAAAAGCCUACCAAGGCUACGAUCCGUAGCUGGUCUGAGAGGACGACCAGCCACACUGGGACUGAGACACGGCCCAGACUCCUACGGGAGGCAGCAGUGGGGAAUUUGGACAAUGGGCGCAAGCCUGAUCCAGCCAUGCCGCGUGCGGGAAGAAGGCCUUCGGGUGUAAACCGCUUUGUCGAGGAAGAAACGGUCUGGCUAAUACCCCGAACUAACUGACGUACCUAGAAGAAGUAAGCACCGGCUAACUACGUGACCAG
rnacentral:rRNA from 1 species